rnacentral:rRNA from 1 species
GGAGCAAACAGGAUUAGAUACCCUGGUAGUCCACGCCGUAAACGAUGAAUACUAGUUGUGGGGGGUAUCGACUCCCUCCGUGACGCCGCUAACGCAUUAAGUAUUCCGCCUGGGGACUACGGCCGCAAGGUUGAAACUCAAAGAAAUUGACGGGGACCCGCACAAGCAGCGGAGCAUGUGGUUUAAUUCGAAGCAACGCGAAAAACCUUACCAGGCCUUGACAUCGAGUGAAAGUCCAAGAGAUUGGACCCUCCUUCGGGACACGAAGACAGGUGCUGCAUGGUUGUCGUCAGCUCGUGUCGUGAGAUGUUAGGUUAAGUCCUGCAACGAGCGCAACCCUCAUAAAUAGUUGCCAUCAUUAAGUUGGGCACUCUGUUUAGACUGCCGUGGUUAACACGGAGGAAGGUGGGGAUGACGUCAAAUCAUCACGGCCCUUAUGGCCUGGGCUACACACGUGCUACAAUGGCUAUUACAAAGAGUUGCAAUAUAGCAAUAUGGAGCGAAUCUCAAAAAGAUAGUCUCAGUUCAGAUUGUGGGCUGAAACCCGCCCACAUGAAGUCGGAGUUGCUAGUAAUCCCGAAUCAGCAUGUCGGGGUGAAUGCGUUCCCGGGUCUUGUACACACCGCCCGUCACGCCAUGGGAGUUGGGAGUACCCAAAGUCGGUGAGUUAACCCGCAAGGGAGACAGCCGCCUAAGGUAAGACCAAUGACUGGGGUGAAGUCGUAACAAGGUAGCCGUAUCGGAAGGUGCGGCUG